CCUGAUUGAAAAUAUACUCUUUUAUUGAUGAACACUACUAAUAACCAACAAAUUUUAAUGAAACAAUGUGGAAUGUACAGGUUUAAAAAAAUAUUUUUAAAACUAAGAGAUUUGAAUAUAAGGUGAUUGUAAAUACUUCAGUGAAAUUACUAUCAAAAAGACUCAAAAAAUUUAUUUUUCAAUAAUCCAAUAACAAUCCUUUUAAAAAAGGUAAUUUAAAAAUUAUAAAGAUACACAAUAUUGAGCCGCUUAAACAAUUUAAUGUAGGCUAAAUUAUGUGCAAAAUGAAACAAAAUUUUUAAAAUCACUAUAUUCUAACCAUCAAUAGACUAGAAAUAUAAUGUAUUUUGAAUUACAAAAAUAUCUUUAGGCAUACACACAUAUACACACACAUGACAUACACCUAAUACAACAGUUAAAAAAAAUUGACUUAAUAUGCUUUUUUAUGGUAGACAGCGACUUAGUCUAGGUUACAAGGUUUAAGAAAUCAAGAAUGUCUAAUAUGUGCACCAUCAAAAUUUAUUGCUAUGCAAGCUUCAUUUAUUUUUAUUUAUUGUAAAUAGAGUAAAGGAUGGAAUGUCUAGGAAAUCAACAUUCUCAAAUAACUCAUGAAAAUAAAUUAAAUGCAAAUAAAUGCUAAAUAACUUUCUAAUGUGUUUCUUUUCCACACUGAAUGAGCUGAAUGUAAUGAAAGUAUAAUCAACUACUAUCAGCCCACAUUUAAUUUGCCACUUCCUAGUCUUUACAAUAAAAAAUAUUCUAAAUGUAUAAUACAUUUUUCAUUUAAUAUAUAUAAAAACAAUAAAUGUUACAUAAACAAAUCAAAUGUUGGAACUAUUUUCAUUUUUAUUAGGGUACAUUCUACUUAAGAAAAAAAAAAAAAAAGAACAAAUUCACUAAUGGACU